rnacentral:rRNA from 1 species
AACGAACGCUGGCGGCAGGCUUAACACAUGCAAGUCGAACGGGCGUAGCAGUACGUCAGUGGCAGACGGGCGAGUAACACGUGGGAACCUUCCUAGGGGUACGGAACAACUCAGGGAAACUUGAGCUAAUACCGUAUACGUCCGAGAGGAGAAAGAUUUAUCGCCCUUAGACGGGCCCGCGUCGGAUUAGGUAGUUGGUGGGGUAACGGCCUACCAGGCCGACGAUCCGUAGCUGAUCUGGGAGGAUGAUCAGCCACACUGGGACUGAGACACGGCCCAGACUCCUACGGGAGGCAGCAGUGGGGAAUCUUGGACAAUGGGCGCAAGCCUGAUCCAGCCAUGCCGCGUGAGUGAAGAAGGCCUUAGGGUUGUAAAGUUCUUUUGGCAGGGACGAUAAUGACGGUACCUGCAGAAUAAGCCCCGGCAAACUUCGUGCCAGCAGCCGCAGUAAUAC